rnacentral:tRNA from 1 species
GUUGGGGCUCAGUGGUAGAGUGCUUGCCUAGCAUGUGUGAGGCACUGGGUUUGAUUCUCAGCACAGCA